CAGACUAAAAUCUGAUCCACUGAAGUAUUUUGUGGGAUCCGGUUCAAAGCAGAGGGUUAAAACUAUUUACAUGAAUGAAAGGACUACCCCUUCAAAGGGAGGGAGGGUAAUAUGUAGUCGUAGCCAGGACCACAUGCAUGAGGAGGAAACAGCUUGGCUCUGAAACAUGUUCACAACGAGGCAGUGUGAAUGAGCUGGUGUCUUUUAAGGGUGCUAUUUUGAGAAAACUUUUU